GUAGGUGGCAAGCGUUGUCCGGAAUUAUUGGGCGUAAAGCGCGCGCAGGUGGUUCUUUAAGUCUGAUGUGAAAGCCCCCGGGCUCAACCGGGGAGGGUCAUUGGAAACUGGGGAACUUGAGUGCAGGAGAGGAAAGUGGAAUUCCACGUGUAGCGGUGAAAUGCGUAGAUAUGUGGAGGAACACCAGUGGCGAAGGCGACUUUCUGGCCUGUAACUGACACUGAGGGCGCGAAAGCGUGGGGAGCAAACAGGAUUAGAUACCCUGGUAGUCCACGCCGUAAACGAUGAGUGCUAAGUGUUGGGGGGUUUCCGCCCCUCAGUGCUGCAGCUAACGCAUUAAGCACUCCGCCUGGGGAGUACGGUCGCAAAGACUG
rnacentral:rRNA from 1 species